AGCAGCCGCGGUAAUUCCAGCUCCAAUAGCGUAUAUUAAAGUUGUUGCAGCUAAAAAGCUCGUAGUUGAACUUCGGGGUUUACUCAUUGGUCAGGCUUAAUUGUCUGUACUGGUGAGAUGAAUCUCUACCUUCUGAGGAACUUUCAUGUCAUUUAUUUGGUGUGAUUGGAAAUCAGGACUGUUACUUUGAAAAAUUAGAGUGUUUAAAGCAGGCUAACGUCUGAAUACAUUAGCAUGGAAUAAUGAAAUAGGACGGAUUGAUUCUAUUUCGUUGGUUUCUAGGGUCACCGUAAUGAUUAAUAGGGGUAGUUGGGGGCAUUAGUAUUCAAUUGUCAGAGGUGAAAUUCUUGGAUUUAUUGAAGACUAACUACUGCGAAAGCAUUUGCCAAGGAUGUUUUCAUUAAUCAAGAACGAAAGUUAGGGGAUCGAAGACGAUCAGAUACCGUCGUAGUC
rnacentral:rRNA from 1 species